GGCGGCGUGCCUAAUACAUGCAAGUUGAACGCAACAAAGACACCAGAGCUUGCUCUACCGUCUUUGUUGAGUAGCGAACGGGUGAGUAACGCGUGGGUAACCUGCCUUAUAGCGGGGGAUAACUAUUGGAAACGAUAGCUAAUACCGCAUAACAAUAGAGAUUGCAUAAUCUUUAUUUGAAAGUGCCAACUGGUACACUAUGAGAUGGACCCGCGUUGUAUUAGCUAGUUGGUAGUGUAAUGGACUACCAAGGCGAUGAUACAUAGCCGACCUGAGAGGGUGAUCGGCCACAUUGGGACUGAGACACGACCCAAACUCCUACGGGAGGCAGCAGUAGGGAAUCUUCGGCAAUGGACGAAAGUCUGACCGAGCAACGCCGCGUGAGUGAAGAAGGUUUUCGGAUCGUAAAACUCUGUUGUUAGAGAAGAAUGUUGAUUAGAGUGGAAAAUUAAUCAAGUGACGGUAUCUAACCAGAAAGGGACGGCUAACUACGUG
rnacentral:rRNA from 1 species